UGCGUAGGCGGAACGGUAAGUCAGAUGUGAAAGCCUUGGGCUCAACCCAAGAAGAGCAUUUGAUACUGUCGUUCUAGAGUACAGGAGAGGAAGGUGGAAUUCCCGGUGUAGAGGUGAAAUCCGUAGAUAUCGGGAGGAAUACCAGAGGCGAAGGCGGCCUUCUGGACUGACACUGACGCUGAGGCACGAAAGCGUGGGGAGCAAACA
rnacentral:rRNA from 1 species